rnacentral:rRNA from 1 species
UGCUUCCCAUCAGCUUGAUGGUAGUGUAUUGGACAACCAUGGCAUUCACGGGCUAUCGGGGGAUUAGGGUUCGAUUCCGGAGAGGGAGCCUGAUAAACGGCUACCACUUCUACGGAAGGCAGCAGGCGCGAAAAUUAUCCAAUCCUGACUCAGGGAGGUAGUGAAAGAAAUAAUGAACUAGGAUUUAUCCUGGGAUCACAAUGGGCUUGAUUUGCAAACUUUACAUUUAGCGAGGAACAAUUGGAGGGCAAGUCUGGUGCCAGCAGCCGCGGUAAUUCCAGCUCCAAUAGAGUAUAUAAAUAUUCCUGCAGUUAUUCGAUGCUCGUAGUUGGAUUUCUGAAGUUGAGGCGGGAGGGUGGCUAUGGUCAUCGCCCAUCUCUUCCUUCAUCCACCUGUUAGCGAAUCCCGGGAUUGAUUUCUCGGUUUCGGGCUCAGGUAUCUUACCAUUUUCUAUAUUUGCAAUCUUCAUCGAUUAUGCAUUAUUUUUUUUCUUUGAGCAAAUUAUAGUGUUUCAGGCAGGCGUGCGCCGGAAUACAUUAGCAUGGUAUAAACGAAUUGGACCGUGUAUUCAUUAUUUGAAUUUUCCUUAUUUGUUGGUUUGAAGGACACGGAGAUGGUUAAUAGGGACAGAAUUUAUUUCAGGGGGAGGCAUUAGUAUUUAAUUUCCAGAGGUGAAAUUCUUUGAAAUAUUAAAGACUAACUUAUGCGAAAGCAUUUAUUUGCCAAUGAUGUUUUCAUUAAUCAUUGAACGAAAGUUAGGGGAUCAAAGACGAUCAGAUACCGUCCUAGUCUUAACCAUAAACGUUGCCGACUAGGGAUCGGAGGGCGUGCACAUUCCGCCUUCGGCACCUUACGAGAAAUCAAAGUCUUUUGGGUUCUGUGGGUAGUAUGGUCGCAAGGCUGAAACUUAAAGGAAUUGACGGAAGGGCACCACCAGGAGUGGAGCUUGCGGCUCAAUUUGACUCAACACGGGAAAUCUUACCAGGUCCAGACAUAGCGAGGAU